rnacentral:rRNA from 1 species
GACGAACGCUGGCGGCGUGCUUAACACAUGCAAGUCGUACGGUAAGGCCCUUUCGGGGGUACACGAGUGGCGAACGGGUGCGUAACACGUGAGUAACCUGCCCACAACUUUGGGAUAACGCUAGGAAACUGGUGCUAAUACUGGAUAUGUGCUCCUGCUGCAUGGUGGGGGUUGGAAAGCUCCGGCGGUUGUGGAUGGACUCGCGGCCUAUCAGCUUGUUGGUGGGGUAGUGGCCUACCAAGGCGGCGACGGGUAGCCGGCCUGAGAGGGUGACCGGCCACAUUGGGACUGAGAUACGGCCCAGACUCCUACGGGAGGCAGCAGGGGGGAAUAUUGCACAAUGGGCGCAAGCCUGAUGCAGCAACGCCGCGUGCGGGAUGACGGCCUUCGGGUUGGAAACCGCUUUCAGCAGGGACGAAGCUUUUUGUGACGGUACCUGCAGAAGAAGCACCGGCUAACUACGUG